rnacentral:lncRNA from 1 species
AAAACAACAGAUACAUUCAAGUCAAAUCUAUCUUAAUUUCUGUCAAGUUUUUCCAUUUUCAAGUAAAGAAAAUCACGCAUUAUGGUUCCAUUUAUUUCCUGUAAUAAUUAGAUCACUUGCAUACUUGUAACACACACACAGACAAUAUGUAUUGUUUAUUUGUUGAAAUAUAUUAAAAUAUGCGCUGCUGAACUUAUAUUAGUCAGUAUAGUAUAUAGACGUGUAUACCAAAGACAAAUUUAUACAUUGUUUAAUUUCCUGUAGUGUUUGAUAAUGACCCAGUGACCUACAACUUUUAUAAUAAAUAAACCACAUAGACAACGCUUCUGAAUCAGUAUAAAAAGUAUGAAUUAUUUGUUAAACUAGUGUAAAAUGUGGUGUGAAAUAAUUGGUAAAGGCAACGAUAUCCGGCUAAUUAAAUUGACCCGAUGAGCUGACAUGAUGUUGAAUUUAUUUUGGAAAUAAAUAUUACAGUUAAUUUAACCUUACAAUUUUUCAUUAUGUUUGUUUAGUCUAUGUAUUUGC